rnacentral:ncRNA from 2 species
ACCUCUCUGACCAUCGACGGUUCCAUUGGGGUCUCAGACCCCUGGAUGAAAAGGGAAUACGGUGAGGUGUAGCCAAAAGGCGCCAAAACCGGAACUGCCCCCGCAACUGUGAGCGGCGAGCCAUCGGGAACAGCCACUGAUCUGCACAGCAGAUCGGGAAGGUCCCGGCCCGGCCCAGACCCGCAAGUCAGGAGACCUGCCGUUGCGAGCUGGCACCC